CAAAGGAGGCGACUCCGGAGACGGAUGGGCAUGCGUGACAUUAGCUUGUUGGCGGGGUAACGGCCCACCAAGGCGACGAUGUCUAGGGGUUCUGAGAGGAAGGUCCCCCACACUGGUACUGAGACACGGACCAGACUCCUACGGGAGGCAGCAGUGAGGAAUAUUGGUCAAUGGGCGAGAGCCUGAACCAGCCAAGUCGCGUGAAGGAUGACGGCCCUACGGGUUGUAAACUUCUUUUGUCAGGGAGCAAUUGAGUCCACGUGUGGGCUUAGCGAGAGUACCUGAAGAAAAAGCAUCGGCUAACUCCGUGCCAGCAGCCGCGGUAAUACGGAGGAUGCGAGCGUUAUCCGGAUUUAUUGGGUUUAAAGGGUGCGUAGGCGGAAUAUCAAGUCAGCGGUAAAAAUUCGGGGCUCAACCCCGUCGUGCCGUUGAAACUGAUGUUCUUGAGUGGGCGAGAAGUAUGCGGAAUGCGUGGUGUAGCGGUGAAAUGCAUAGAUAUCACGCAGAACUCCGAUUGCGAAGGCAGCAUACCGGCGCCCAACUGACGCUGAAGCACGAAAGCGUGGGUAUCGAACAGGAUUAGAUACCCUGGUAGUCCACGCAGUAAACGAUGAAUGCUAAUUGUCC
rnacentral:rRNA from 1 species